UACGUAGGGGGCAAGCGUUGUCCGGAUUUAUUGGGCGUAAAGAGCUCGUAGGCGGUUCCGUAAGUCGUGAAGUCAAAUCUCUGGGCUCAACCCAGAAUCGCUUCCGAUACUGCGGUGACUGGAGUCCGGUAGGGGAGUGUGGAAUUCCUGGUGUAGCGGUGAAAUGCGCAGAUAUCAGGAGGAACACCAACAGCGAAGGCAGCACUCUGGGACGGUACUGACGCUGAGACGCGAAAGCGUGGGGAGCAAACAGG
rnacentral:rRNA from 1 species